rnacentral:piRNA from 1 species
UCCUGUGAUACAAUUUCCAUGGGCC